UAGCCCUACGGGAGGCAGCAGUGGGGAAUAUUGCACAAUGGGGGAAACCCUGAUGCAGCGACGCCGCGUGAAGGAAGAAGUAUUUCGGCAUGUAAACUUCUAUCAGCAGGGAAGAAAAUGACGGUACCUGACUAAGAAGCCCCGGCUAACUACGUGCCAGCAGCCGCGGUAAUACGUAGGGGGCAAGCGUUAUCCGGAUUUACUGGGUGUAAAGGGAGCGUAGGCGGCGAUGCAAGUCAGAAGAGAAAGCCCGGGGCUCAACUGCGGGACUGCUUUUGAAAAUG
rnacentral:rRNA from 1 species